ACCUCAAAACUAGCCUAACCAAUUAUUAAACAUAACCCCAUUAAUUAAAUUCACACUCUUCCAAAAAUUAAAACAUUUUACAACUUUUAGUAUGGGUGACAGAACAAAGACCUAAGCGCAAUAGAUUUGAGUACCGCAAGGGAAAGUUGAAAAAGAAAUGAAAUAAAUAAUUAAAGUACAAAAAAGCAGAGAUUAAACCUCGUACCUUUUGCAUCAUGAUUUAGCUAGACCAACUAGGCAAAGAGACCUUAAGCCUAUCAUCCCGAAACUAGACGAGCUACUCCAGAGCAGCAUGAAAGAGCAAACCCAUCUCUGUGGCAAAAGAGUGGGAAGACUCCCGAGUAGCGGUGACAAACCUAUCGAGCCUAGUGAUAGCUGGUUAUCCAAAAAAAGAACUUCAAUUCUGCAUUAACUUUUUUAAUGUCAACUAAGAACAUCUCCAAAAGACUGAACAUAAAAAUUAAUAGUUAUUCAAAAAAGGUACAACUUUUUUGAAUCAAGAUACAACUUUUCAAGGUGGGUAAUGAUCAUAUUUACCAAGGACCAUUCCAUCAGUGGGCCUAAAAGCAGCCAUCUGUAAAGCAAGCGUCAUAGCUCCAGCCCAUAAUGAAACCUAUAAUUUAGAUAUUAUUUCCAAACCCCCUUAACCAAUAUUGGGUUAUUUUAUAAGAUUAUAAAAGAACUUAUGCUAAAAUGAGUAAUAAGAGGCUAAACCUCUCCCAACACCAGUGUAUAUCAGAAAGAAUUAAAUCACUGAUAAUUAAACGACCUCAAACUGAGAAAAUUAUAGAAAUUUAUUAUUAACUAGAAAAACCUAUUUAAUUACUCGUUAAUCCUACACAGGAGUG
rnacentral:rRNA from 1 species